rnacentral:rRNA from 1 species
CCUACGGGUGGCAGCAGUGAGGAAUAUUGGUCAAUGGGCGCGAGCCUGAACCAGCCAAGUAGCGUGCAGGAUGACUGCCCUACGGGUUGUCAACUUCUUUUAUAAAGGAAUAAAGUGAGGCACGUGUGCCUUUUUGUAUGUACUUUAUGAAUAAGGAUCGGCUAAUUCCGUGCCAGCAGCCGCGGUAAUACGGAAGGUCCGGGCGUUAUCCGGAUUUAUUGGGUUUAAAGGGAGCGUAGGCCGCAUGUCAAGCGUGCUGUGAAAUGUUCGGGCUCAACCCGGGCCUUGCAGUGUGUACGGGCUGGCUUGAGUCCACGUAAGGCAGGCGGAAUUCGUGGUGUAGCGGUGAAAUGCUUAGAUAUGACGAAGAACCCCGAUUGCGAAGGCAGCUUGCUGCAGUGGAACUGACGCUGAUGCUCGAAAGCGCGGGUAUCGAACAGGAGUAGAUACCCUUGUAGUC